GCAGAUGCCCCGCGCUCAGGCUUUCGAUACGGCAAUCGAGCUCUUGCCGUCAGCUAACCGGCCCACGAGGGGGCGGGAAUCGUUACGAGCUUGCGCACUGAGCGGACUCCCACGGUGCGGGGC
rnacentral:sRNA from 12 species